UCAUCAAGGGCCGUCCCUGCAAGGUAUAUAUAGCUCCCCCAUCUCGUUCUUUGUUUUGUGAUUAGAUGAUUUGUAUUUAGGUUGCAGUAAUUAGAUCGUGUAUUUUCUGUUAUUUUGACGGCUUUCUUAUAUUUUUGAUAGAUAUGAAUAAGACACAACAGAUCUGAGAGUACUAGUUUGUGUAAUGAAUAACAAAAGCUGACCUUUUUUUGUUUUGGUAUUUAUUAUGGGAUUGAUAAGGUUGUUGAGGUUUCGACUUCGAAGACUGGCAAGCACGGUCACGCCAAGUGUCACUUUGUUGCUAUUGAUAUCUUCACUGCUAAGAAGCUUGAGG
rnacentral:lncRNA from 1 species